rnacentral:lncRNA from 1 species
AUCCUAAUAAAAUCCUAAAUCCUAAAUCAAACCCUAAACAAACCUCAAACCAAACCCCAACCAAAUCCUAAACCAAAUCCUAACCAAACUCUAAACCAAAUCCUAAAUCCUAAAUCAAAUCUUAACCAAAUCCUAAUCCAAAUCCUAAAUCCUAAACCAAAUCCUAAACCAAAUCCUAAACCAAAUCCUAAACCAAAUCCUAAUCUAAAUUCUAAAUCCUAAAUCAAAUCCUAACUAAAUCCUAAACCCUAAAUUCUAAAUCAAAUCCUAACCAAAUCCUAAAACCUAAAUAAAAUCCUAACCAAAUCCUAAUCCAAAUCCUAAACCAAAUCCUAAUCCAAAUCCUAAAUCCUAAACCAAACCCUAAUAAUUUCUAUAAUAAAUUUAAACCUCAAUAACUAAUGAAUAAACUGUUGAUCUUAAAUCAAAUUUUGCACACUUCUAAAAAAAUAAGUUAAAAACAAGUAUAAGAAAAUUGAAAAGGAUCGGAGUUUUCAAAUUGACGAUAACCUCAAAAAUGUGCUUGGAUAUUGGCUGGUGUCCUUCUCUAAUCUUGAUGCCAAUCUUUGAGAGCCAAUAUGUCUCUGUUGCACCAUUCGAUUUAUAUCAAAAUUCUCAUACACAUAGAAAAUCAAGUCUUAUAUCCUCUCACAUAAGUUUCACUCCAAUCCAACUUAAAGAUUACAAGAAAUCUUAAAAACCCCCAUUAGACCUAAAAUUCUACUUUCUGAGACCUUGACCUACUUAAACCUCAAUAUUCCUCAAUUCAACCGUUAGAUCGAGCUCAAAUUUACAAUACAU